GGAAUUGACGGGACCCGCACAAGCGGUGGAUGAUGUGGUUUAAUUCGAUGCAACGCGAAAACCUUACCCACCUUUGACAUGGCAGGAAUCCCGAAGAGAUUUGGGAGUGCUCGAAAGAGAACCUGCACACAGGUGCUGCAUGGCUGUCGUCAGCUCGUGUCGUGAGAUGUUGGGUUAAGUCCCGCAACGAGCGCAACCCUUGCCAUUAGUUGCUACGAAAGGGCACUCUAAUGGGACUGCCGGUGACAAACCGGAGGAAGGUGGGGAUGACGUCAAGUCCUCAUGGCCCUUAUAGGUGGGGCCUACACACGUCAUACAAUGGCCGGUACAGAGGGUAGCCAACCCGCGAGGGGGAGCCAAUCCCACAAAGCCGGUCGUAGUCCGGAUCGCAGUCUGCAACUCGACUGCGUGAAGUCGGAAUCGCUAGUAAUCGCGGAUCAGCAUGUCGCGGUGAAUACGUUCCCGGGUCUU
rnacentral:rRNA from 1 species